GUAGCUGCUGAUGGAACAUGUGUCUAAAAGAAGAAUUGCCCAGGAAUAUGUCUUUUACCCCACCUUCCAGGAACAAGCUUGGUACCCCUCAUUCUGAUCUGGCUUGAUGGUCAGAGGAGUUCCUGUGGGUUCCCCAGGAUCAAGUCAUCAGGAUCUCCACUCAGCAGCUCUCAAGCUCUUAGAAGAGCCGGUGUCCCUGGAGUGCUCUCCACAGCCUGCCCUGACGCCUGCAUGGUAGCCUCCCUGGACUUAUCAGAAGGCAUACAGAAGAGCUAAGAGAGGAACUCUGGUCUCAGGUGUCAAGUACUUCCUGUCUCUGGUAUCUUGGGCCUGCCUGUUACCUGGACUUCUAAAAGUUUGACAUAAGUGUUUAAUGAGCAAACAGAUCAGCAUUCCAGAAAG